AGCUCCUCCCCUUUUUUUCUGUUGCCAUCGGUAACUGUGAAUAAAUACAGUGAACCUGAAGUCAAGCUACUGGACCUGAGACGAACAUAGACAGUUACACAUGAACUCAAAAAACUGCAUCCUCCAGGUCUGUAUUCAGCUCAGCACACCAGCUCCUGUGUGACUUCUCAGAGGAUGGCUACAAUUAUUGAUGACAGAGGAGAAGAUUGCUAUGCAUGGCCUGUACAGGAUGCCAUCAGAGACGGUGAUUGGGAACCUUUUGAAAAUGUCAAAGUGACACAUGAUUAUGAAUAUUAAACAUCCAUGUAUGGAGCAUGAUUACUUCAAAGGGGGAGGGAAAUAAACAGUCGGAGGCUGGGAUCUCAUUGCGAGCCGUUGAAAUAUGGCAGAACACCAGCGACUGAAUAUAUCAAAUAGAUUAACAAAAGCAUCAUUUGUUAUUGCCAAAGGGCAUAUAUCAUCAUUUUUAAUUUCUUUUUCUUUUUAUGUAUGUUCAGGCUUGUAACUCACAAUAUUUCUAAUAAUACACACAAAAGUUGCCAAAAACUGUUGACAUAACAUUUGGAGUGCUUCAUUCAGACAUCAGGGCUUAAUGCUAAAGUGGCGACAAUAAAACUGAUGCUCACAAGGUAAAAAUAUUUAUAUGCCAAUUUAUCCAGUGAGAAAGAGGAUCUAGCAAACCGGCACCUUGUGAAGAGUUUAAAAGCUCUCUCUUAUGAUCCUAGUCAAUGUAACAGACGCUGUACUUUAAAACGUAACAAUUCUGACACAAUUUUGAUUAAUAAAAUUUGUGCUCUGGAUCUGACCAGCAUUAUUACUUUGAUCUGAACAUAUGUACAGAUCAAAGUAAUAAUGUAAUAAAUACAUUUCAACAACUUUGGAAUAUUAAAAAAAUGUUUUACAGGUUUUAAAGUGAAGAAAUGAAUCCGAUUUUGUGGAACUUGAAAUUCUGUCAAAUCUCCAAAGUUUGUGUCAUUUCUGGUGCGGAUAGUCGCUGCGGCCCACAUCUGAAGGAGAUGACUUGGCAAAAGAGAUCAUGGAUUAUAAUCAGACAUCAAUUAAGGCCGCGGCAGCUGUUUAGUACAAGUACACUGCUACUCUAACACCUUCAUCACAAACCGGACAGGAUGCUUCAUGUGGAAAGAUGCUGCUAGCUCCUUUCUCAGCCUAAAUAAAUCCACUCACGCUUCGGAUGGUUCAACACCAACAAGUGAUCAUGUACCAAAGAGUUGGUCGUUGUAGCCUCCGAGAAGUCAAGGCGGCGCUGAGUUAGGUUUGGUUCCCAUUCAGAUCAAAACGAGAAAAACAGACAAAGAAGAAGAAGAAGGAGAAGGAGAAGAAGAAGAAG